CUAACAGUAGCGUUAGUGUAGCGUAGUGUUAGCUUUUUUUAAGCUACGCUACUCAAAGGUUACUGUUAGU